CAAAAGGAUAACAAAUCAAAAUUUUAUUCGUUAGCAAAACAGAAAUUUUUAAAAAAUUAUAUUUAAAAUUUUUUGUCAGUUUGUAAAACUCUGCUACUAGGAUACAUAAAUUGCUAAAUACAAUAUUAGGACAGCUGAAUUUGACUACUAUCAAUGUAAUCUGAUAACUUGACCGCUUGAUCUUUUCAGUAAUUAGGAAGGUCAAGCGCUAGAAAUUUUCUAAAAGGAUGGUGCAGUAAGUAAAAUAGCGGUGUUUGGAAAAAAAGGAAGCACACACCGUUCGCAAAAGCGUGACGUGUGUACCAAGCAAAGUGAAGCGCUGGUAAGAUUAGAUGGGUGAUUAUUGGUGGUGAUAAUGGAAACAUAUACAAGUAGAAUCUACUUGGUCAUGGAGUUCAUAAAUUACCUAAAUAUUAUAUAUAACGAGGUUUGUCGUUAAGUACACCUAGAAUGCGGUCAGCAAGAUAUAUUGUACAUAUAUCUCAUAUCCACUGCAUUUGAAACUGCCGUAUUAUAACUUAGAGAAGAUCGUAAUAUGAUAUUUAUGAAGACUCCGAAACCAUUAAACCGAUUUUGCUGAAUUUUUUAAGACAGCCUGUAAAGUUCCAGCUUGCUAGAUGUCUCUGUUAACAUGAUAAAAAAAUUUAAAAUAAAAGCUAAGCUUUAUAUUUAAAUUUAAUUAGAUGGCGAGUAAAAAGCUUUCUUAUUUUAUAAUUUUAGUAAAAAAAAAAAACCCAAAAGCUAUUUUACAUCAUAGUCAGGUUUCUGAAGAGAGAGAAAGUAGUUGCUGGAAGCCAAAUCUGAUGAAUAUGGUGGAUGGCUUGUGACUUCACCUGCUUUGGCGCUAAACAACCAGCUUCCGUACACUGUAAACGUUCUUGUUUCAAUUUAGGAUGAUAGUACCAAGUCUCAUCCAUAGUUAAAAAACGACGCAAGAA